GAUUAACGUUGGCGGCGUGCCUAACACAUGCAAGUCGAACGAUCACUUCGGUGAUAGUGGCGCACGGGUGCGUAACGCGUGGGAAUCUGCCCUUGGGUUCGGAAUAACUUCGGGAAACUGAAGCUAAUACCGGAUGAUGACGUAAGUCCAAAGAUUUAUCGCCCAAGGAUGAGCCCGCGUAGGAUUAGCUAGUUGGUGGGGUAAAGGCCCACCAAGGCGACGAUCCUUAGCUGGUCUGAGAGGAUGAUCAGCCACACUGGGACUGAGACACGGCCCAGACUCCUACGGGAGGCAGCAGUGGGGAAUAUUGGACAAUGGGCGAAAGCCUGAUCCAGCAAUGCCGCGUGAGUGAUGAAGGCCUUAGGGUUGUAAAGCUCUUUUACCCGGGAUGAUAAUGACAGUACCGGGAGAAUAAGCUCCGGCUAACUCCGUGCCAGCCGCCGCGGUAA
rnacentral:rRNA from 1 species